CAUUUACAGCAUGGUUUACUGAAUAUUUUGAGUAGAUGCUCAAAAAAAACAGUUGCUGAACAAAUGAAGCAUAUACUCAUGUUGUUUUUGCUUCGUACAUGCAGAAGCACUAUGGUUACGUUUGUCAGUACGCCAGUUUGCAUGAAUUAAAAAUGAAUCUGAAAAGCUUUCCCCCUCCCACUUUUCUUUCAGUUUGUAUACAAGAACACUUUACCUGAGAUAUAGGCCAAAAGUGAAGUUUCUCUUUGGAAUCUGGCCAGUGAUCCUGUUUGAGCCUCUCAGGAAGCAUUGAUGAAUCAUUCCACCAAGAAAACAAACAAGCACCUACCAUAGACCUGGCAGAAUAAAUAAGGAAAUCCUUAAAGAUCUACAAGUUCAAAUAUGUCAUGACCAUCACAGCAGAGGAGUGACUUUCUGACUAAUGCUGCCACCCACACAGAGAAUAAGGAGUAGGGCCUGCUGGGUGUUUAGCUCAUGGCUUUAUCUUAUUUGUCCCCCUCCUCCUUUCACGCUCCAGUUUAUAAAGAAACAGAGAUGAUGUGUGUGUAUGCCUCAAAUGCAGAAA
rnacentral:sRNA from 1 species